rnacentral:antisense_RNA from 1 species
CUUUGCGGUAGGACGGUUGGGGGACGCCCCGUGCGUGCUGGUUCUAUGGAUCCCAGUCUGUCAACCCCUUUCCGUUCUACCACCAUA